AACCGUCGGGGGUAACGGACAGAGCCCGUGAAUCCGGGCGAGCGGAAUUCAGGACCGACGGGCGGGCGCGUCUCUUUCGGGGGGCGUCGUUUCCGUUCGUCGAUUCGAUAUUUCCGCCGCCGACCGUCAUUGGUGCGGACGUCGCGACCCGUUCGCCGUCGGUCUGACGAGUCGCGUUUACGAGUUCGGUCGACGUUUCGUUCGGCGGGUCCUCUUCGCGGAGGGCUCGUCGGCCGUCGACUCGACGACGCGUGUCUCGGGCCGACGAUGGCGGACGGUAGCUGCAAACGUGCGGGUAUUCGACGCGGCCGACGGGUCGACUUUCGGGUCGGCUCGGGCGCUCGCGUCGACGCCGGUCAGCGACGAAUCUUCGGGCCUCUUUCCGACCCGUCUUGAAACACGGACCAAGGAGUCUAACGUGCGCGCGAGUCGCGGGGUAUUCGAGUCGUUAUAGGGGGGCGCGCGUUCGCGCGCGCGUCCUCUGAAACGCGGCUCGUUACAAAUACGAAACCCGUUUACGUACGUUGUACGCAAGGCGUAAUGAAAGUGAGGCGACCUCGCGUCGCCGGGGAAGACGAUGUUUCCGAGUACACGAUUUCUCGGUCGCUUCGGUAUCCGAGACCGGACAUCCGCAUUCCCAGGGCGUCCCGCUCGUCCGCUGGCGAUGCGGACGCGCGUUUCGGCGCGCGUCGAUCGUCGGCGAACUGGGGCGCACCUAUAGCGUGCACGUUGGUACCCGAAAGAUGGUGAACUAUGCCCGGCCAGGAUGAAGUCAGGGGAAACCCUGAUGGAGGUCCGCAGCGAUUCUGACGUGCAAAUCGAUCGUCUGAGCUGGGUAUAGGGGCGAAAGACUAAUCGAACC
rnacentral:rRNA from 1 species